UAGGGAAUCUUCGGCAAUGGGGGGAACCCUGACCGAGCAACGCCGCGUGAGUGAAGAAGGUUUUCGGAUCGUAAAGCUCUGUUGUUAAGGAAGAACGAGUGUGAGAAUGGAAAGUUCAUACUGUGACGGUACUUAACCAGAAAGGGACGGCUAACUACGUGCCAGCAGCCGCGGUAAUACGUAGGUCCCGAGCGUUGUCCGGAUUUAUUGGGCGUAAAGCGAGCGCAGGCGGUUAGAUAAGUCUGAAGUUAAAGGCAGUGGCUCAACCAUUGUAGGCUUUGGAAACUGUUUAACUUGAGUGCAGAAGGGGAGAGUGGAAUUCCAUGUGUAACGGUGAAAUGCGUAGAUAUAAGGAGGAACACCGGUGGCGAAAGCGGCUCUCUGGUCUGUAACUGACGCUGAGGCUCGAAAGCGUGGGGAGCGAACAGG
rnacentral:rRNA from 1 species